rnacentral:rRNA from 1 species
AGAGUUUGAUCCUGGCUCAGGACGAACGCUGGCGGCGUGCUUAACACAUGCAAGUCGAACGAGAAUCUACUGAAGGAGGAUUCGUCCAACGGAAGUAGAGGAAAGUGGCGGACGGGUGAGUAACGCGUGAGGAACCUGCCUUGAAGAGGGGGACAACAGUUGGAAACGACUGCUAAUACCGCAUGAAGCAUAGGGGUCGCAUGAUCUUUAUGCCAAAGAUUUAUCGCUUCAAGAUGGCCUCGCGUCUGAUUAGCUGGUUGGCGGGGUAACGGCCCACCAAGGCGACGAUCAGUAGCCGGACUGAGAGGUUGAACGGCCACAUUGGGACUGAGAUACGGCCCAGACUCCUACGGGAGGCAGCAGUGGGGAAUAUUGGGCAAUGGGCGCAAGCCUGACCCAGCAACGCCGCGUGAAGGAAGAAGGCUUUCGGGUUGUAAACUUCUUUUAAGAGGGAAGAGCAGAAGACGGUACCUCUAGAAUAAGCCACGGCUAACUACGUGCCAGCAGCCGCGGUAAUACGUAGGUGGCAAGCGUUGUCCGGAUUUACUGGGUGUAAAGGGCGUGCAGCCGGGUCUGCAAGUCAGAUGUGAAAUCCAUGGGCUCAACCCAUGAACUGCAUUUGAAACUGUAGAUCUUGAGUGUCGGAGGGGCAAUCGGAAUUCCUAGUGUAGCGGUGAAAUGCGUAGAUAUUAGGAGGAACACCAGUGGCGAAGGCGGAUUGCUGGACGAUAACUGACGGUGAGGCGCGAAAGUGUGGGGAGCAAACAGGAUUAGAUACCCUGGUAGUCCACACU